rnacentral:lncRNA from 1 species
UAAAUCUGUUAAAUAAAUAAUGUACAGCACAUAUGAAUAUCUAGUAGCUAAAAUAAAAUAAACAAAUGCACCUGCAAGACAUAAACUAAAAUUAUCAAUAUUUUUAUUCAUAGGAUACAAAAUUAAAAUAAUAUUGCUUACUGUUUCCGGGAUACAUAAGACAUCAAAGUUCAUGUCGCUGCUGAUUAAAAUUUAAGAAUAUUCAGAAUUGAAACUCAUCAUUAGUUUGGCUCUUCAUUAUUUCCUUGCUGUUGCUCCUCAUUUUUUAUUUGCUCCUGCAGCUGAAGACGGCUUGCCAUUUUUCUCUUCUUUUGAAUUCUGGUUGCUGACUUCUUACUCUCUCCAAAGUCCUCUAUUUAUAGCACUUCGAUCGGCUCGGCUCCCCCAGUGGUGAUAAGUCACUUGUUAUUUAACAGGUUUGCUGGUUGAAAGUUUAAACAAGUGAAUAAGUACUUGUCCAUUAGUUGUACUUGUCAAUUAGUUGCUAAAUGUUACUUCACUUGAACAUAGAUACUAAAUGUGACUGAGUCGGCGAUAUAUUUGUAAUCUUAACAAAUUAGCUUUAUCGAUUGGGCAAGUCUAAUUUUUCUAUUUAAUAGAGAGACUAUCAAGAAAAAUGAUAUUUUUCUAUUUAGUCUCAAACAUAUUUUAAGGACAAUUUUUAUAGUCUCACAUAAAUUUUAAUAACAAUUUUUAUAGUCUCACAAAAAUUUUAAUAACAAUGUGUUAACAUAAAUAUUUCUUUAUUAUUGAUUUUGAUGAUAACAAACUUGAUUAAGAUUGAUUAAUCUUUUAAAAGCUCAAAAUAAUUUUCAUAUACUUUUAAAAAUCAUCAUUCUCACUUUUAUUCUAUGAAAGUGUUUUUUGGUCAUUUUCAUGUUAAUGGUUUUCAAUUGAAAUAACAAAUGUUUUUGGUUAUUUUGACAAUAACAAAUAUUGUUUCAAAUCCUGUAAAUGGAUCUAUUUUGACAAGUUUUAUAAAGUGUUUUGUUAUAAAGAUUUGGAGACAAACUAUUAUCUUGCAAAAUAGUUCACUACAGCAGUUUCUGUGGAAAACGGCGAUCCAACAAGCUUGAUAAACGGCUCGCCGAUAUCAAACAGAACUGAAGAUUAGUCUCUGGACCUAAACGACGAUUCGACAAUUCUGAUAAACGGCUCGCCGAUAUCAAACAGAACUGAAGAUUAGUCUCUGGACCUAAACGGCGAUCUGACAAUUCUGAUAAACAGCUCGCCGAUAUUGAACAGAACUGAAGAUUAGCCUCUGGACCUAAACGGUGAUCCGACAUCUAGAUAACGACGAUCCGACAAUUUGAAAAUCCAGCCCAACGGUCAUAUUGACCAGUCAAACAGCAAUUCGACAUCUAGAUAACGGCGAUCCGACAGUGUGCAGAAAGUCAAUAACGGCUAGUUUUCAGCUCCACCUAUAAAUAAGCUCAUUCAAAUUCAAACAAGAGUUGAUCACAACACGACUAUUGAGCUUAUACUUGAGAAUACAAUAUUCAUAGAGCUUGGAAUACAUUCUUGCUUCAUCUAUUCACAUAUUUGGCAUCAUUCUUGUAAUCUUAAAUAUUGUGAGAGGCAAAACAAAUUUGUAAUCUUUUGUUUUGAGUUAUUGUAAGUGUUGGGAUACACUUGGGUUAAAAGAUUGGGAUAAUUUCUUGUUGUAAAGGUUCAUUGACACCUUGGAAGUCAAGUGUAAGCAUUUGAAGCCUUGGAGGAUUGCUUAGUGAAAUCCUCAAGCCCGGAAAGCUUGGAGACGUGGACGUAGGCAAGGUUGGCCGAACCACGUAAAAAUCUUCGUAUUUGAAUCUCUCUUCCCUUAUCUUUUUAUAUUGUAAUUGAUUUAAUUAUUAUUCCAUUAAAUUCAUUCUAGAUUUGCAUGAUAAUUUGUUUUAGAAUCUAAUAAUUUUUAGAAUCCCAAUUCACCCCCCUCUUGUACUUGUAUUUCAAUUGGUAUCAGAGCCUUGUUCUCUUAUUAGGACUUAAUCGUCUAGAGUAAAAGAUCCAUGGCAACCCUAAAUGACUUAACCUUUAGAGAAAGGCAAUCCACAACUAGACUACCGUUCUUUGACGGUAAUGACUAUGCAUAUUGGAAAACUAGAAUGAGAAUUUAUUUGCAAGCUUUAGAUUAUGAAAUUUGAGAAGUUGUUUAUGAUGGUCCAUUCAUGCCUAUGUUUAAAGAUGAAGUAGGAGAUGAUAUUCCUAAACCAGCAAGUCAAUGGAGUGAGUUAGAAAAGAGAAAAAUGUCCUUAAACUCCAAGGCAAUGAAUGCCUUUUUUGUGCUUUUGAUAAGAAAGAAUUCCAUAGAGUAUCUAGCUGUGAAAGUGCACAAGAAAUAUGGAAUAAACUUGAAGUUGUCUAUGAAGGGACAAAUCAAGUUAAAGAGUCUAAAAUUAAUAGAUACACUCGUCAAUAUGAAUUGUUCCAAAUGGAAAAAAAUGAAAAUGUGUAUUCUAUGUAUACUAGAUUUACGGACAUAGUGAACACCCUAGGAGCUUUGGGAAAGACCUUCUCAAAUAGCGAGAAAGUUAAAAAAAUCAUUAGGUCACUUCCAAAAGAAUGGAGACCUAAAAGAACCGCUAUUGAAGAGGCCAAAGAUUUAAAUACUUUACCUCUUGAUGGUUUAAUUGGUUCUCUCAUUUCAUAUGAAGAAGAUUUGGCAGCAGAAAAAAAGGCAUGAGGAGAAGAAGAAAAGUAUUGCUCUCAAAGCUUCAAAAUAUGAGAGUGAUGGGGAGAGUGAACCGGAUGAUAAAGAGCUGGCCAUGCUAGCAAGGAGGUUCAGAAAAUUCUUCAAGAAAACCGGAGAGCGAAGAAAUUUCAGAAACUUCAAGAACCAAAGGGAGAAGAAAGAGGUAAUCACAUGCUAUGAAUGCAAGAAGCCUGGCCAUAUAAGAUCGGAGUGCCCACUUAUCAACAAACUUAAGAAGAAAACCAUGGUUGCAACUUGGGAUGAUAGCGAGGAAGAUUCAAGUGAUGAAGAAGGGUCGCAAAAAGUAUCAAACCUAGCGCUUAUGGCAAUAAGAGGGGAUGAUGAUCUCAAUGAGGUAAGUGAUCCCACCUAUGAUGAAUUGUAUGAUGCUUUUAAAGAAUUGCAUAAUGAGUUGAUGAAGAUUAGUAAAAAGAAUGUAUGUCUUAAAAAGGAAAUGGCAAAGCUUAAAAAUGAAAAUGAAUCUCUAAAUGCAAAAAUUGCAUGCCUAGAAGUAGAGAACAAAACAUUGCAUGAUGAAAUUGCAUUAUCAAAUGAGAAACCUAGCAUCUCACAUGAGUAUUUAGAAUCACACAUAUGUGAUUUGAAAAAUGAAAACGAAAUGUUUAAGAAAAAGAGCAAUGAGUUGGAUGAGAUUAUUUUGAAAUUUACAAAUGGGCAAAAGAUGUUGGAUAAUAUGCUUAACUCACAAAAAUGUGUUUUUUAUAAAGGAGGACUUGGGUAUAAGCCUAACUUGAAGCAAAAAUAUUAUAAGAAUUAUUUUGUUAAAGCUACCUCCACAAGUGAUCAUAAGAUUGUUUGCCAUUAUUGUAAUCAAAACGGUCACAUGAAAUAUAGAUGCCCCGUGAAAAGGAAUGCAUAUUAUGGUGUCAAAUGUAUUUGGGUUCCAAAAAGAACUAUUGCUAACUCUCAAGGACCCAAAAAGCUUUGGGUACCUAAAACUUGAGAUUUUCUUUGUAGAGCUUAAAGAAGAAGAAAAAUAAAUGGUACUUGGACAAUGGUUGUUCAAGGCACAUGACCGGAAACUAUGCAUGGUUCUCAAGCUUCACCAAAAUUGAAAAUGGUGGAGACGUAUCUUUUGGAGACAACUCAAAAGGAAAAAUUUUUGGAAUUGGAAAUGUUGGUAAAGUUUCCUUAACUCUAAUUGAGAAUGUAUGUUUGGUUGAGAAAUUGAAACACAACUUAAUUAGUAUUAGUCAAUUAUGUGACAAAGGUUACAAAGUUAUCUUUGAUAAAUUUAGUUGUGUUAUUGAGAAUUCAUGUGAUGACAAGAUCUUAUUUGUUGGGAAUAGAUGUGGUAAUGUUUAUAUCAUUGACAUAGAAUGUGCAUAUACUCUUGAUAAAUGUUUUUCCGCAUUACAUGAUGAUAGUUGGUUAUGGCAUAGAAGGUUAGGACAUGCAAGUAUGGAUUUGAUUUCAAAAAUUUUGAAAAAUGAUUUAGUUAAAGGUCUUCCGAAAAUUGGUUUUCAAAAAGAUAAGAUUUGUGAAGCUUGUCAAUUUAGAAAAAAAAUCAAAACAUCUUUCAAAAAUAAAAAUCAUAUUUCUACUUCAAAACCACUUCAACUUCUUCACAUAGAUUUAUUUGGGCCAUCUAGACAUGCUAGUCUAAAUGACAAAUAUUAUACAUUUGUGAUAGUGGAUGAUUAUUCUAGAUAUACAUGGGUAUUAUUCUUAGUCAAUAAGGAUGAUGCUCUUGAUGCCUUUAAAGUGCUUUGUAAGAAAUUACAAAAUGAAAAAGGGGAUGGUAUUGCAUGCAUUAGGAGUGAUCAUGGAGGGGAGUUUGAAAAUCAUGCAUUUGAGAAUUUUUGCAAUAAUCUUGGCAUUGAGCAUCAAUUUUCAUCACCUAGAACUCCACAACAAAAUGGAGUUGUUAAGAGAAAGAAUAGAUCCAUUCAAGAAAUGACUAGGACUAUGUUGAAUGAAAUUCAUUGCCUAAGUAUUUUUGGGCCGAGGCCGUCAACACCGCUUGUUAUGUUUUAAAUCAUGUGUUGAUUAGACCUAACCUUAACAAAACUCCAUAUGAGCUUUGGAAACAUAGAAACCCAAUAUUGGUUAUUUCAAAGUUUUUGGAUGCAAAUGUUUUAUUUUGAACACAAAAGACAAUCUUGGCAAAUUUGAUCCAAAAUCUAAUGUUGGUAUUUUUCUUGGAUAUUCAAACUCAAGCAAAGCUUAUAGAGUUUAUAACAAAAAUACACUAGUUGUAGAAGAAUCUAUACAUGUUACAUUUGAUGAGUCUAACCCCUCCUCUGCGGAGAAAUGAAUAAAUUGUGAUGAUGUAGAUGGAGAGUUACAAGAAGAACCAUCAAAGGAUAAUAAAGAGAAUACACCACAAAGAAAUCAAGAGGAUGAACAAGAAGAGCAAACAAAUAUGGAGCAACAUGAACGUACUUCUCAAACACUCCCUAAGGAGUGGAGGUAUGUUUCUUCUCACCCUAAAGAUGUAAUUUUAGAAGAUCCCUCAUGAGGUGUUACAACUCGAUCAUCACUUAGGAAUACUUGUGAGCAUAAUGCAUUCAUUUCUCAAAUUGAACCCAAAUCCUUUGCGGAUGUGGAAAAUGAUGAAUCUUGGAUUAUGGCAAUGCAAGAGGAGUUAAAUUAAUUUGAAAGAAACAAUGUGUGGGAAUUAGUUCCUAAAUCGGAACAUCAAUCCAUUAUAGGUACUAAAUGGAUAUUUAGAAAUAAGAUGGAUGAAUCCGGUGUGGUUGUAAGAAAUAAAGCUAGAUUAGUGGCUCAAGGUUACAACUAAGAAGAAGGAAUUGAUUUUGAUGAAACUUUUGCACCCGUUGCUAGACUAGAAUCAAUUAGAAUGUUGUUGGCAUUUGCAUGUCAUAAAGAUUUCAUCUUAUUUCAAAUGGAUGUGAAAAGUGCUUUCUUAAAUGGGUAUAUUAUGGAAGAAGUAUAUGUAAAACAACCCCCUGGUUUUGAAAAUGAAAAACUUCCAAAUCAUGUUUAUAAGUUGUUUAAAGCCUUGUAUGGAUUAAAACAAGCACCUAGAGCAUGGUAUGAUAGGCUUAAGAAUUUCUUGUUAGAAAAUAAUUUUUCCAUGGGUAAAGCGGAUACUACUCUCUUUGUUAAACAUAAGGACAAAGACAUACUUAUUAUUCAAAUUUAUGUUGAUAAUAUUAUUUUUGGUUCUACUAAUGAAUUGUUGUGUCAAGAAUUUUCAUCUUGCAUGAGUAAUGAAUUUGAAAUGAGUAUGAUGGGAGAGUUGAAGUACUUCUUUGGGCUGCAAAUAAAACAAAAUGAGGAAGAAAUUUUUAUAAAUCAAGCCAAGUAUGUAAAAGAUCUACUCAAAAGAUUCGACAUUGAUGACUCAAAGACUAAAAAUACUCCGAUGAGCACAACAACCAAGCUUGACAAAGAUAAAAAAGACAAAGAAGUGGAUAUCAAAAUGUAUCGAGAUAUGAUCGGAUCUUUACUUUAUUUAACUGCAAAUAGACCCGAUAUUAUGUUUGGUGUUUGUUUGUGUGCAAGAUUUCAAUCAUGUCCCAAGGAAUCUCAUUUACUUGCUGUAAAACGAAUCUUCCGCUAUUUAAAUGGAACUAUAGAUCUCGACCUUUGGUAUCCUAGGGGAACUCAUAUAGAUUUAACAUGCUAUUCGGAUGCGGACUUUGCCGGUUAUAAAGUUGAUAGGAAAAGCACUAGUGAAACUUGCUAUAUUCUAGGACAUUCGCUUGUUUCAUGGUUUAGCAAGAAACAAAAUUCUGUUGCACUUUCAACUACUGAGGAUGAAUAUAUAGCUGCCGGGAGUUGUUGUGCACAAGCACUUUGGAUGAAACAAACACUUAGAGAUUAUGACAUUAAUCUUGAACAAAUUCCUAUUAAGUGUGAUAAUACUAGUGCUACAAAUCUUUCAAAGAAUCUCAUUCAACACUCUAGAACCAAGCAUAUAGAAAUUAGACAUCAUUUCUUGAGAGAUCAUGUUCAAAAGGGAGAUAUUGCAUUAGAGUUUAUUUCUACGGAAAAACAACUUGCCAAUAUUUUUACAAAACCACUUUGCGAAGAACAAUUUUCAAAAAUUCGGCAUGAACUUGGGAUGAUGAAAUUUUCGCAUUAACAUCUUUAUUCAUAUUAUUGAGUCUAUUAAAAUUGAUUGAUUUAUGAUUUGAUGUUUUAAUAUCUAUGGAAUGCUCAAUCAUGAUAUACAUGUGGAGUGUGUGUAUAUUUGAAAAAUGUAUGAAUUAAUUGUUGCAAUACAUAUAUGUUCAUGAAUUAUGCAUUGAACUGGCACUUAAAUCAUUUUGGAUCAAUGAAAUGAUCUUGAAAUGUAUUAAUAGUUGGCCAAAUAUCAAAAUAAAUGUGCGAAAUCAUAAGUUAUAGAAAACGGAUUGCCGUUAUUUCAAUAAACGGCUAACCGAUUUAGGGCAGAAACACUGGGAAGUAUUCUGGAAGCUAUCGGCUUGCCGAUAUCUCUAUAAACGGCUCGCCGUCCUGAUGAACAUUUUUGGGAACUCUCUGGAAGCUAUCGGCUCGCCGAUAUCUCUAUAAAUGGCUCGACGUCCUGAUGAACAUUUUUGAGAACUCUCUGGAAGCUAUCGGCUCGCCGAUAUCUCUAUAAACGGCUCGCCGUCCUGAUGAACAUUUUUGGGAACUCUCUGGACUCUGUCGGCUUGCCGAUAUCUCUAUAACGGCUCGCCGUUAUCUCGCGAUAAGUGAACAAUCUUUCGUCUUCUUCUUCAUUUCGUUCUUGCUCUCUCUCUCUCUCUCAUACCCGCGACUGACACUUCAUCUUUCUCUCAAAUCCACCAUUUUUCUCGCUCUCUCUCACCAAAUUUACCCUUUCAAAGUGUUUCUCAUCUAGUUUAGAACAUUUUUAACCGAUCAAAACUCGUUUUUUAUUCAAAUUUGAGAAAUCCCAAAUUUUAAACCCUAGAACCAACUGCUAUUUUCUCGCCAAAAUUGAGCCAAAAUUUCUUUUAUUUUCAAUCACAUUUCAACUUGUCAUUACUCUUUCAUCACUCAAACUUUAUUUCUCCUGAUUCAAAUUUCUCCAAACUCAUCAAUGGCAGAACGACCACAGAGGCGUGCUCAAACCAAGCACACUGCUCCGCGUUGUUCCAGUCCCUCCAGGCCUCCCUCUCAGGACUUCGAGAGCCUCCAUUUUUCCAAUGACACCUCUGCUCAAUGAUUUCGUGACAAAUUCAUGGGCAAACCAGUAACUCCCUCAUUUUCUCUUAACAUUACGGAGUUUUCAGAUAUUACCAUUUGUGGUCGUACUAUUACUCAAUUGCUUAGCCAUUGAAAUGAAGCCUUAAGUAUAGAAGAGCCCAUCUAUGAAAAUCUAGUCCGUGUCUUUUAUUCUAAUAUGGAACUCUCCUCUUCCCGUCGAGUUAAACUUUUUACUUAUGUAGGAGGAAUUCGUAUUGCGUUUGAUGAGCCAGAAUUAUGUAGUAUUCUUGGAAUUUCUUAUGGAGGCUUAGAUAUUUACACCGCUAGGAAAGAACUUGAUUUUAGUGAUUUCCGUCAUGUGGAUGGUGUACGGAACAUUUGUAGGCGUCUGGAUCUUUCCGAUGACGUCUGUUCCUUGUCCUUUACGUCUCAACUCCUCCAUUUCCAAGUUCGAAUACUUCAUAUCAUUCUCUAACACAUGGUCACCCCCAGACAGGGUCACACCAAUGAGGUAACUCGACUUGAUGUUGGUUUAUUAGAUUCCCUCAUCCGUAGACGGCAUGUGAGUUUAUCUUACACUAUUCUUUGUCAUAUGCUGUCCACACCUAGAGUCUCCAACCGAUCUCUUCCAUAUGGCAGCAUCAUUACUCGGAUCUUGAAAUUCUUUAGAGUACUUAUCACUGAGCCUGUUUAUCUCGAGACCCGUAAGCUCGGUCGAGAGAUUAUUUCUGCGAUCAGAUUUUUUAAGAAGCGUGGGAAGUGGGAAAAGACAACAUCAUCUAAGAAUAAAGAUACUCUGCUUGCACCACCGGAUGAUCGUAUGUUAAAUGACGUCUAUUCCAAGGAUGAGUUACCCGAUUUCCGCCUUGGGGCUAGACCGCGUGUCCCUCGCAGAGCAGCAGCAGCAUCAGCAGCAGCUUCCUCUCAGGAUGACGAGCCAGUCGAGACAGCUGUCCCUCCUGCAGCAUCGACCGUUCCUGCAGAUCACUUUCAGCAACUGUUUGACAAAGUGGAUGUUUUGUCCCAGCAGCAGCAGCAGUUUCAAUAUGAUUUUGCGACCUUUCGGCAACAAAUUUCAGAUCAGCAGAUGGAGUUACUUGCUGGUCAGCGCCGCAUUCUCGGUUACUUUGGUUAUGACCCAGGUAGCUCUUCUUCACAGCCCCCGUCUUAGUUUUUCUGCCCCUCUGUUUUUCGCACAAACAUUACUCAUUUCAUGUAGUUUGUUGUGACACUUAUUUCAUGUUUGUGGUGUUUUUAUGCUGUUUUCUGUUGGAUAUGUGGACUUUAUUUAUGGUUGAGUUGAUUUUGAUGAUAUCUUGAUUAUCUUGCUGAUCUGUUUGAUUGUUGGAAUGGAAGUUGGUUGAUAAGUUGGCAUAUUCAUAUAUGGAAGUGUUUUUAACUAUUUGUAUUGUUGAAGAUAUGCUUAUUUUUAAGGGGAGAUUCUGCCGAAAUUUUUUUAACAUGGUUAAUCUAUGAACUUCGUUUUUAAUCUUUUCACGCUCAUUUCUUUUUUAUGAUGAAGGGGGAGAUAAUUUAUCAAUUCAAUCUAUUCUGUUUUAAAUUAUUUUAUGAGAUUAAAAAUUGAUGGGCACAUAUUUAGGGGAAGUUAAAUUCCUUAAAAUUUUUUCUUAGGGGGAGCACAUAUUUAGGGGGAGCAAAAUUGCACAAAUAUAUUCUUGAAUAGUUUGUCAUCAUCAAAAAGGGAGAGAUUGUUAACAUAAAUAUUUCUUUAUUAUUGAUUUUGAUGAUAACAAACUUGAUUAAGAUUGAUUAAUCUUUUAAAAGCUCAAAAUAAUUUUCAUAUACUUUUUAAAAUCAUCAUUCUCACUUUUAUUCUAUGAAAAUGUUUUUUGGUCAUUUUCAUGUUAAUGGUUUUCAAUUGAAAUAACAAAUGUUUUUGGUUAUUUUGACAAUAACAAAUAUUGUUUCAAAUCCUGUAAAUGGAUCUAUUUUGACAAGUUUUAUAAAGUGUUUUGUUAUAAAGAUUUGGAGACAAACUGUUAUCUUGCAAAAUAGUUCACUACAACAGUUUCAGUGGAUAACGGCGAUCCGACAAGCAUGAUAAACGGCUCGCCGAUAUCAAACAGAACUGAAGAUUAGUCUCUGGACCUAAACGGCGAUCCGACAAUUCUGAUAAACUGCUCGCCGAUAUUGAACAGAACUGAAGAUUAGCCUCUGGACCUAAACGGUGAUCCGACAUCUAGAUAACGGCGAUCCGACAAUUUGAAAAUCCAGCCCAACGGUCAUAUUGACCAGUCAAACGAUGAUCCGACAUCUAGAUAACGACGAUCCGACAUCUAGAUAACGACGAUCCGACAUCUAGAUAACGGCGAUCCGACAGUGUGCAGAAAGUCAAUAACGGCUAGUUUUCAGCUCCACCUAUAAAUAAGCUCAUUCAAAUUCAAACAAGAGUUAAUCACAACACGACUAUUGAGCUUAUACUUGAGAAUACAAUAUUCAUAGAGCUUUGAAAUACAUUCUUGUUUCAUCUAUUCACAUAUUGGGCAUCAUUCUUGUAAUCUUAAAUAUUGUGAGAGACAAAACAAAUUUGUAAUCUUUUGUUUUGAGUGAUUGUAAGUAUUGGGAUACACUUGGGUUAAGAGAUUGAGAUAAUCUUUUGUUGUAAAGGUUCAUUGAUGCCUUGGAAGUCAAGUGUAAGCAUUUGAAGCCUUGGAGACUUGCUUAAUGAAAUCCUCAAGCCCGGAAAGAUUGUAGGCGUGGACGAAGGCGAGGUUGGCCGGACCACGGAAAAAUCUUCGUGUUUGAAUCUCUCUUCCCUUAUCUUUUUAUAUUGUAAUUGAUUUAAUUGUUAUUCCAUUAAAUUCAUUCUAGAUUUGCAUGAUAAUUUGUUUUAGAAUCUAAUAAUUUUUAGAAUCCCAAUUCACCCCCCUCUUGGUUGCAUACUUGUAUUUCAAUAUGUAGUCAUAGAAUUCAAAAUUUAAUGACAAAAGAACUUUGAAGUGAAAAAUAUUAUUAACAUAAAUAUAAUUCAUCACAAAGAAAUCUAAAAUCUAAAAGGUAACAAUAAAUAGUCUAAAAUAAGAUUACAUUGUAGAAGAAAAAUAAAAGUAACAUUACACAAAAGUAGAAUUAAGUAAACAACAAGUUGUUGUUUUAUGAAUGUUUCAACUUCCUUAAAUUUGCUAUCUUCUUCCUUGAUUUUAAUUUUUUAUCCUUAUUUUGCUGAGACAAUGCUGUAGUGGAUGAUAACUUUGAAGGUACCUAUCAUUUUCAAGCUUUAUAAAAUUAAAGAUUUUUCCCAAAAGUAUUUCACAAUUUGAUCAUCUAUUAUUGGUACAUUAUUUUUCUCUAUCUAUAUUUGGCUCUACAUGAUUAAAUAAAAUAAUACUAACAAUAAAAAAAAACUUGAGAAAACACUUAAUUGGUGUAGAAGAGUAAUCUUAUAAAGAAAAUCUUAUUGCCAAUGCAUAAAAGAAUCGUAUAUGGCAAGCCAAAUAGGUAUAAAUAAAAAUAUUUAGGUAAGAAUGCAACAUCAAUUAAAUUUUUCAAUGAAACAUAUCCGCAAUCAAUUCUUUCAUCCAUUAAAAAGAUAGAAAAAAUUCUAAAUGAAAGAAAGGAGAUUACAAGCACAUACUUGCUUUCAUUAUUACUUCAAAUUAACAAUAUAAUCAAAAGAUUACAAGCACAUAAUCAACCUCGAUGCACCUGCACAAAUUUUGCAUCCAAAGCUCUGAAGUUAAUCUAUUAAAUAGUUGGCAUCAAACUUGAAUUAAAUUAAAUUAUUAAGCAGUCAAUGAAUCAAUGUUUACAGUAAAAUAAAUAUAAAGUUGAAAGAAAUAAAAGAUUAAGUAAAAAAUGAAAAAUAAAAUAACGUACACAUUUAGAUUUUGUAUGGAGACUACUUGAACCUUUUUCACUCACUCCAAUACAUUUUCUGAAACAAAGUAUUAAGGAAACUCUCUAUACAUUUUUGUUAUCCCAGUACAAAGGAAGAUAAGUAUAUUAAUUUUGACUAAACAUACAACAACCACUUGGUGGGGGGGAAGGCUUGUUAAUCUUUAUUUAGUCACUUCCCAGCAAAUCCAACAAUAUUUUGAGCAAACUUUACUACUUUAGCAACCCAAGCUUCAAAAUCGUCCUUUUAAACAACGCAUCAAAGCUACCUAAUAUUUUAUAUUUAAAAUUUUGUAGCUUAACUUAUUAUUAUAUUGGCUGGACUUGAAUAAUUUACUAACUCUUUUUAUUAUAUUAAUACUAGCUAUAAUUUUCUUUAAAAAAAUAAAGAAAGAUGAUUAAUUACAUAGCAAGAUGAAGUGAGCAAAAAUUAGAAAGAUCCCAAUUUUCUAGAGUUCUUAUGAAAGAAUAGUAGGAAAAAAAAAUCUAAUAUCAUCAUACCUAAACCCACUGCCCAAAUUGACAAACAAAUUGAUCUUAAUAUCCUAAUUUUACAAAAGUUUCUCAAAACCUAGUAAACUUUGCUUCAAAUUCCUUCAUUUAUUUGCAUGUAUUUUAUGUUUUUCUUUUACUAGAUUCUCUUAGGAAUUUUAUCAAGCACUUGAUAAGCAUAAAAAUAUUCAAAUAAUAGAUCUAAGAAUUACAAUCCCUAAUUUUACCAAACACAAAAAUAUGAAUUUCACAUAAUCCAUUCACAACUAAACUAAUCAAAAUUAAAUUGGCUGAGUUUAUAUAUACUCACAAUUUCGAAGUAGAACGAGAGAUGAGAGUGAAUUUUGUCGAGUGGCUUAUUUUGGCAUGCGUGAGUGAACUGGUGAGGGUGGCGUGCUUUGAGCGGCGAGCUUUUGAGUGGCGGCAAAGGGCGUGAUUCUAGUGGCUUAUGCGGCGGCUAAGGUAGAGUUAUAGUGUUGCCUCCAUAGUCGUGGGUUUUGUUCUGUUAUCAUCAUUCACAAACACACGCACAAAUUGGAAAGGAUUACAAAAGAUAAAGAUGGGUAGUUUUUAAUACAAAAUCAAGUAAAGUGAAGUGGUCAGGGAGAGAGUGGGAGGGAAUUAAAUUGUUUUGUUUGGAUAACAACAAAA